GCCAGUGUGGUUUUGUGGUUUGAGUGUUAGAUGAUGCCUCUGGAGACCAGGGUUCAAAUCCCUGCUUGGCCA